UGCGAAGGGGGCUAGCGUUGCUCGGAAUUACUGGGCGUAAAGCGCGCGCAGGCGGCUCGUCAAGUCUGGCGUGAAAGCCCCCGGCUCAACCGGGGAGGGUCGUCGGAGACUGGCGAGCUUGAGGGCGGUAGGGGCUGGUGGAAUUCCCGGUGUAGUGGUGAAAUGCGUAGAGAUCGGGAGGAACACCCGUGGCGAAGGCGGCCAGCUGGGCCGUCCCUGACGCUGAGGCGCGAAGGCGUGGGGAGCGAACGGG
rnacentral:rRNA from 1 species